rnacentral:rRNA from 1 species
CUACGAAGGGGGCUAGCGUUGUUCGGAAUUACUGGGCGUAAGGCGCGCGUAGGCGGAUUGGUCAGUUAGGGGUGAAAUCCCAGGGCUUAACCCUGGAACUGCCUCUAAUACUGCCAGUCUUGAGUUCGGGAGAGGUGAGUGGAAUUCCUAGUGUAGAGGUGAAAUUCGUAGAUAUUAGGAAGAACACCAGUGGCGAAGGCGGCUCACUGGCCCGAUACUGACGCUGAGGCGCGAAAGCGUGGGGAGCAAACAGGAUUAGAAACCCUAGUAGUCC